rnacentral:rRNA from 1 species
AUGUACAUUCCUAUAACAUAGAUUUAAUGCAUCAGAUCCCAUUAGAAAUCCACAGUUAAGCGUGCUUGGGAUAGAGUAGUAUUGGGAUUGGUGACCACCAGGGAAUUCCUAGUAUUUUACAUG